rnacentral:rRNA from 1 species
UACGUAGGGUGCGAGCGUUAAUCGGAAUUACUGGGCGUAAAGCGUGCGCAGGCGGUUCGUUGUGUCGGCGGUGAAAGCCCCGGGCUUAACCUGGGAAUGGCCGUUGAAACUGGCGAACUGGAGUGUGGCAGAGGGGGGGUGGAAUUCCACGUGUAGCAGUGAAAUGCGUAGAGAUGUGGAGGAACACCGAUGGCGAAGGCAGCCCCCUGGGCUAACACUGACGCUCAUGCACGAAAGCGUGGGGAGCAAACAGGAUAGAUACCCACGU